GAUUCUUAUUCAUGAAUAAGACUGAUAAGAGUGGUUGAAAUUCUUAUUUUGGUAUAAUCUUUUUGUAUUAGUAGCUAUCAUAUGGUUGAAGGGGUGAUUGGAGCUUGGUUGGUGGAUGUGUUAGUAGCUGUUAUGUGGCUGGUGGAUCUAUCUAUUUGUAGGGUGAUCUCCAAUCUUUUUGUAUUAGUAGCUUAGGAAUGCUGAAAGCAACCCACAAUAUUCUAAAUCCAGCAUUUUCUUGGUCAAAUUCCAACAACUUCAGGUAUUUACCUAACAAUAAUAACAACCAAAUUAUGAAAGAGUUGAUUGUAUGAAAGAGUACUUGAAGAAUCACUUUGUCAUAAGCUCCUUUUUAUUUUCUUUUUCAUGUUUAGGCAGCAAUUCAUGGCAGUGGUGGUAGUAGAACUUCUGUUUCUGAGGGCAUGGAACAUCUGCCAUUUAUAUUCACUUUAAGGCAGCAGCGGGUGAGCCUUAUAUGAAGAUUCAGUUUAGAAUCUCAUCUUUUGCAAUUCACUUACUUGAGAAGGGAACACAGGAAAUGGUGAAAGGGUGGGAAGCUAAUCUUCUCAUUUGAUGCAACAAAGAAAGCUCGCUUUGUACUCCCAUGACAUAUAAAUAAUGAGCUUCAAAUCAGAUGGUUUAAGCUCCCAAAUUGCUUUAUCUUCCAUAAUGGUGAGUUUUUUUUUCCUUCAAUGGACCAACAACAAUGUCUCGCGAAACAUUUCAAGCUUACUAUGCCUGAUGUGCAUGUUGCAUCAUAAUCAUAUAUGUCAUAUCAAGCAGGGUUAAUUGGCCUGCACUGAGGGGUCCCAAAUGUGUGUUUGUGUUUCUAGUCCUUUGUAGCAUGCUCCCAUUCUUCAAUGUUGAUCAUUAGUGGGGAGACUUUUCUUUUUCACUCAUUUACCUUUGGCAUCUUUUUUUAUCUUCCCAGAGCCGAGAUCUGUUUGUUGUCUGUC